rnacentral:rRNA from 1 species
GAGCCAGACUCCUACGGGAGGCAGCAGUGAGGAAUAUUGGUCAAUGGGCUUACGCCUGAACCAGCCAAGCCGCGUGAGGGAAGACGGCCCUAUGGGUUGUAAACCUCUUUUGUCGGAGAACAAAACCCGGGACGUGUCCCGGACUGCGUGUAUCCGAAGAAAAAGCAUCGGCUAACUCCGUGCCAGCAGCCGCGGUAAUACGGAGGAUGCGAGCGUUAUCCGGAUUUAUUGGGUUUAAAGGGGGCGUAGGCGGUCCGUUAAGUCAGCGGUAAAAUUGCGGGGCUCAACCUCGUCGAGCCGUUGAAACUGGGUGCCUUGAGUGGGCGAGAAGUACGCGGAAUGCGUGGUGUAGCGGUGAAAUGCAUAGAUAUCACGCAGAACUCCGAUUGCGAAGGCAGCGUACCGGCGCCCAACUGACGCUGAAGCACGAAGGCGUGGGUAUCGGACAGGAUUAGAUACCCCUGUA